UUAAUUGAAGCCAAAAUAGAGGCAUAUCACUGUUAAUGAUAAAAUUAGUAUUAAUACUCAAUUAAA
rnacentral:tRNA from 1 species